UUGCUGAUUUUGGCAGCACAUAUACUGACAUUGGAAUGAUACAGAGAAGAUCAGCGUGACCCCUGCGCAACGAUGACAUGGGAAUUUGUGAAGCGUUUCAUAUUUUU
ensembl:snRNA U6 U6 spliceosomal RNA